rnacentral:lncRNA from 1 species
CGCGCAGGAGCGCCACGCAGGCGCGCGUGCCCUCGGUGAUUUGGCCGCGCUCGUUGGCCACGAGGGUGAGGCGCAGGUCGGGUGGCGUGGCCAGCGUGACCGGGUCGUCCGCAGGCCAUGCGACCGCGUGAGUCGCGUCGUGGAGCGACCUCGUGGCCAGCGACUUGUGACCAAUGCGUGGGUCGUCACUUCUCAUGCGCACCGGUGCCAGACGCGCGACAUGGGUUGUAGGCACGAGGUCGGGCUGCAGCGCCCAAUGGGUCUGGCCGUCCGAUGGCAUCGGCUCGGCCGUCCACGUCGUUUCCAGUGUGUCGAUGUCGACCACCACCCUGACGCGCAUCGUGCGCUCUUGAUGGCGCGCGGCCACCUCGACGAGCGCCCCCUCUACCCUCUCUUUGAUGGUGGCCAGCACGGCGUCGACAUUGGCAUUGUCUUUCAAGAGCGCGUGCGCUGCGGUCAGCACGCGGUCGACGUGGAGCGCCUGAAUGCGAUAGACGCCGUUGGGGUCCAGCCGCAGGGUUUCGACGAGCACACGCGACCCCACAGCGCCGACGGUGCGCACAACGUCGGCGUGCUCCCUGUUCUCGAUCGAUUCGUCCGUUCCUUUUGCAUCGGCGUGCAGCGUAUCGACGACAAUGAUGCCGUCGGCGGUGCGCACCAGUCGAUCGGCCUUGAGGAGGAUCUCGUCAAACUCGUCGUCGGGAUUCGAAUCAGCGACGAUGGCGCCGCCGCACCCCACCGAGACCGAGCCGUCGGCGUCGAUGACGGCCGUGCGGAUCACCACCGAUAGACAGCAGGCGCCGUCGGCCGACAGGAAGCCCAACGCGCCCGAAUAGGCACCGCGCGGUCGGCCGCGUUCGAGGCGGUCGAGAAUCUCCAUAGUGCGUGGCUUGGGCGCGCCGGUCAUGGAGCCGGGCGGAAACGCCGCGCGCACGGCAUCCAACGCGCUCGCGCCUGGCGCCAAGAGACCGUCGACAGUCGUCACCAUCUGGUGCACGGCGGCGUACGAUUCGAUGGCCAUGAGACGGUCAUGGGGCACGACGACACUGCCGGGCGCACACUGCAUGCCCAGAUCGUUGCGCACCAAGUCGACGAUCAUGAGACUCUCGGCAAAGGUCUUGGGGCACGACGCCAGGGCAGCGGCCAGCGCGGCGUCCUCGUCGGGAGUGGCGCCGCGGCGCGCGGUGCCCUUGAUGGGCUUGGACCGCGCGCGUCCGUGGCGAUCCACCGACAAAAACUUUUCCGGCGACGACGAGGCCAACACGGGCAGUCCCGGCCCGAGCCGCAAAAACGCCGCAUAGGGCGCCGGACUGGCGCGCCGCAACCGCCGAUAGUAGGCCCAUGGGUCGGUCACGACCGUGGGUCCCGCACGCGCCUUGUUGGUGAGGCACAGUUCGUAACUCUCGCCGUCGGCAAUCUCGCCCAGGCACGCGCCGAUGUCGUUCAAAUAGGCACGGCGGUCGCGAUCCAGCGAAAAUUGUGCACCCGCGGCCGGGACCACAGGCGUGUGCGUCGCGUCAUUAAGCGGCGUUUGGUUGACCGUUUUCAACAGAGCCUCGACCCGAUCAAACCACGCCUGGGCAGCAUCAGAGUCGAGGCGUCCGCCAUGUUUGUUUGACGGGUCACAGUCAACUAGAGCAACGGCGUAGGCCGCGCCGGCAACGUGGUCCAGCGCGACGAAGCGAUCGACUACCAGGAAUACGGCAUCGGGUUCACCGGGACGUGCGUCCGGGACGUGGCCCGAGGCGACACACUCGCGCCUCAACUCGUAGCCCAGAUAACCGACGAGGCCACCCCCGCACAUGCCGCACGGCAGGGCGGGGUCGGGCGCGCAGCGCAUUUCAUCGAGCAGCUGCGCCACGUGGCCCAUGAACCCGUUCGAACCGAUGGGCAAUGACUCGCAACCGUCCGCACGCCAAUGCGUGAUCUUGUCGGCGGCGAGAUCACACGCGAUGGCCUGAAUACCCUGAUCGGCACAGAUGCCCAUGUAGGAGAAGCGUCCAUCGUCGGGCGAGUCGCAACGUGACGAAUCGAGCCAAAAGCAUCUUGGGGCGUCGCCCGCGAGCGCAUCAAACGCCGCCGCAGCGUCAUUGGGGAAACAUCCGUCGGGCAGACGGCGCCAUAUGGCGCGCCGCCUAGGCGCGGCCUUGCCGGGAGCGCCGUGUAUGAGGCCGUCUAGCGGAUGGGGUGGCGGACGCACGGUGCGCGUAAAGACACGCCCCACGGGGUCGCCGUCGCUGUGUUCCUUGGCAUCGCGCGCUCCCGUCGCGCCCUCGGCAGUCGACGCCAUGUCGCGCGCAAUCGCGACAAAGUUGGCCAGCAUGGCGUCGCCGUGUUGGGCACAGACCGACUCGGGGUGAAACUGCACGCCAAAGAGCGGCAGGGUGCGAUGCGCCAGCGCCAUGACCAGACGCCCGGCCGACUCUGUCUCGGGCACCGCGCCGGUGGCGCGCGUCCACGCCGUAGCCUCUAGGCACGGCGGGAGCGUGGCCUCGUCGACGAGCCACGAGUGAUAGCGCACGACGUUGGUUCCCUGCGGGAUGUCUUCAAACAGGCCCGAUCCGGUGUGAUCGAUAGGCUCGACAACGCCGUGGGCGACGUGCGGCGCCCGCACCACGCUGCCGCCGAGCACCCACGCCAUCCCCUGAUGACCGAGGCAUACCCCCAAUAUUGGCAUGGGCGUCCAUGCGUCGGCGCCCGCGUCGGCCGCCGACGCCGCCCAACGGAGGAUAUCGGCGCAGAGACCAAAAUCGGUCGGGUCCGAAGGCACACCCGGCCCCGGACCCAAUACGACGGCGUCAAAGCGGCCCAUGCGCGGCAAGAGGUCGGACCAGGCGAUGGCGUCAUUGGCGACCACCUCGACCUCGCCCACGCACGGCUGGACGCAGAGCAGGCGCUGGCACAGGUUGUAGGUAUAGGAAUCGUGAUUGUCGAUAAUCAGCAGACGAAGGCGAUCGCGUGCCAUUGUCUCUAGCGAAAUGACGAAACAAGGGACAGAGGGGAGAAAGAGACACGAAUAGGGCCGACGAGAAUGCGGGUCUGCCUGCUCUCC